rnacentral:lncRNA from 1 species
ACAUCUGCCCUGACCGGCAGUUGCGUCGCUAUUUGGUGCUGGAGCCUGAUGCCCACGCAGCUGUCCAGGAGCUGCUUGCCGUGUUGACCCCAGUCACCAAUGUGGCUCGGGAACAGCUUGGGGAGGCCAGGGACCUCCUGCUGGGUAGAUUCCAGUGUCUACGCUGUGGCCAUGAGUUCAAGCCAGAGGAGCCCAGGAUGGGAUUAGACAGUGAGGAAGGCUGGAGGCCUCUGUUCCAAAAGACAGACCAGUCAGCACUAUCUUUGAAGAAGACAUUGAAGAAGAAAUAAAUAUUCUUGAUAACA